GCCCCUAUGGUCUAGUGGUACGAUACCCCCUUCGGGUCUAAUUCCCGCCAUUUCUGGCAGAAUUGGGGGUGGUCCUGCGUUCGAAUCGCGGUGGGGGCC